rnacentral:rRNA from 1 species
AUUGAACGCUGGCGGAAUGCUUUACACAUGCAAGUCGAACGGCAGCACGGACUUCGGUCUGGUGGCGAGUGGCGGACGGGUGAGUAAUAUAUCGGAACGUGCCCAGUCGUGGGGGAUAACGUAGUGAAAAUUACGCUAAUACCGCAUACGAUCUAUGGAUGAAAGCGGGGGAUCGCAAGACCUCGCGCGAUUGGAGCGGCCGAUAUCAGAUUAGGUAGUUGGUGAGGUAAAGGCUCACCAAGCCGACGAUCUGUAGCUGGUCUGGGAGGACGACCAGCCACACUGGAACUGAGACACGGUCCAGACUCCUACGGGAGGCAGCAGUGGGGAAUUUUGGACAAUGGACGCAAGUCUGAUCCAGCCAUUCCGCGUGCAGGACGAAGGCCUUCGGGUUGUAAACUGCUUUUGUACAGAACGAAAAGGUCUCUAUUAAUACUAGGGGCUCAUGACGGUACUGUAAGAAUAAGCACCGGCUAACUACGUGCCAGCCGCCGCCGUAA